AGAGUCCAGCGUUGGGGGUGCUCU
rnacentral:siRNA from 1 species